rnacentral:rRNA from 1 species
AGAACGAACGCUGGCGGCAUGCCUAAUACAUGCAAGUCGAACGAACUCUUCGGAGUUAGUGGCGCACGGGUGCGUAACGCGUGGGAAUCUGCCCUUGGGUUCGGAAUAACAGUUGGAAACGACUGCUAAUACCGGAUGAUGACGAAAGUCCAAAGAUUUAUCGCCCAGGGAUGAGCCCGCGUAGGAUUAGCUAGUUGGUGAGGUAAAGGCUCACCAAGGCGACGAUCCUUAGCUGGUCUGAGAGGAUGAUCAGCCACACUGGGACUGAGACACGGCCCAGACUCCUACGGGAGGCAGCAGUAGGGAAUAUUGGACAAUGGGCGAAAGCCUGAUCCAGCAAUGCCGCGUGAGUGAUGAAGGCCUUAGGGUUGUAAAGCUCUUUUACCCGAGAUGAUAAUGACAGUAUCGGAGAAUAAGCCCCGGCUAACUCCGUGCCAGCAGCCGAC